ACCUAACUCAGGCUGUGUGAAUUGCAGUGCAUGCCAGUGAUUUUUCUAGGUGUCUAAAAGUUAGGCACUGUGAUACUCAGCCUCACAAUACCAAACACCUUUUGUGAAUCCAGGCCUUUAUUUUCAACAAAUAACUUUUAAAAUGAAUACAUACAACACACUCAAUAACUUGACUGACUGUUGAACUACAGCCUCCAGUUCACAGAUGUGUUGCACAUGCCUAUUCCACAUGGCUCGAGCUGCCCAAUGGGUACUGCUGAAGGAAAGGUUUCCGAUGGCCAUGGGAUGGGCACAUAGGCACCAAGAGUGGAAUGGCAAUCACCUGAACCAGGAACAGCCAGGGUAACAGAUCUCAAGAACUGAUGAACAGCAAUAAGAUAAAAUGAAGAUCCCAGCCCCCUUCCUCCCCGCCCCCAUUAGCUGUUCCAGCACAAGAUAUAGACCUGAAGAUCCUGCUAUCAGAGAGAUUUGAUGGGAACUGUUGGAAGUUUUUGGAUUCCUCAAUCAGUGUUGCCAGCUGUUCCUGUUUUGGCCAGUGAUGUACCUGAAUGACCAAACUAAGGUUUGAUGACCAAACUGAACCCAAUCUGCUGAAGUUGUCCCCUGCAGUUGUUCAAACGAGGGCCCCAACCUGUCACAGAAUAUGCCACUCAUUUCCAAUGCCUGUUUGCUGACAUGACCUGAAGUGAAGUAGUGCAGGUUUACCAUUUCUACUGAGAUCUCAAUGACUAGAUUAGAGAUGAACUGCCCAGGGUUCAUCUCCCCACUUUAUUGUACCAUUGUAUCAAUUUGUGCAUCCAAAUUAACAAUCAAAUGUUUGAGCAGUGUCAGGAAAGAAGGUAGGCAUAUGCUCGGCCCCUGCCUAACACUGCCCUAUCAGCUUUCAGCAUCAGAAGACUAGCAAUAAUGUGGCAGGGAAGUUUUGUAAUACUAAUGCUUACUAGUGGUGAAGGCUAAGAUGUUUUUUGUCCUUAUUCUAUAAUCUGUGAUGUCUCAAAGAGUAAAGAACUGCUGGAUAAACC